rnacentral:rRNA from 1 species
UGUCGAAUCCUGCAAAAGCAGACCGCGAACACGUUAAACCAGUUUGGGACCGCUGGUCUUGGGGGUCACCCUUUGCCGGCGCCCAACUCUCGCACAGCAUGCGCCUGGCGCGCAUGGUGCGGGCUAACGAACCCCGGCGCGGUAUGCGCCAAGGAAAACUCAUAGAAUCGUCGGCCUCCUAUCGUCCCGUUCGCGGUGUGCGGUGGGGGAACCUACGUCUAUUCAAUGUCAUAACGACUCUCGGCAACGGAUAUCUCGGCUCUCGCAUCGAUGAAGAACGUAGCGAAAUGCGAUACUUGGUGUGAAUUGCAGAAUCCCGUGAACCAUCGAGUCUUUGAACGCAAGUUGCGCCCGAAGCCAUUCGGCCGAGGGCACGUCUGCCUGGGCGUCACGCAUCGCGUCGCCUCCCUUCCCCAUGGGGUGGUGGGGGCGGAAAUUGGCCCCCCGUGCGGCAUAAGCUGCGCGGCCGGCCUAAAUGCGAACCUGUGGCGACUCGCGUCACGACCAGUGGUGGUUGAACACUCAACUCUCGUGCUGUCGUGGCGUUUUUUGUUUUCCGCAGGGUUUCGUCCUGGACCCGACGGCGCGAUCUCAUCGCGCCUU